rnacentral:rRNA from 1 species
GACGUAGGGCGCGAGCGUUGUCCGGAUUUAUUGGGCGUAAAGAGCUCGUAGGCGGCUCAUUGCGUCAACCGUGAAAACCAGCAGCUCAACUGUUGGCUUGCGGUUGAUACGGGUGGGCUGGAGUUCGGUAGGGGAGACUGGAAUUCCUGGUGUAGCGGUGAAAUGCGCAGAUAUCAGGAGGAACACCGGUGGCGAAGGCGGGUCUCUGGGCCGGUACUGACGCUGAGGAGCGAAAGCGUGGGGAGCGAACAGG